AAUGUCAGUUCCUCGUACCAAUUUGGUCAUUCUCUACAGACAUGCAUUGCACAGUUGCUGCAUUUUCGAAGAGUCAGCCCGACUACCAAUUCUGGGCCACGAGGUGGACCAACCGAAGAAGCAUGAAGUGUGUGCAGGUCUCCUGAUGGACUUAAUUUAGACAGAUUUCACAGUUCAGGUGCUAAGAAUAAGAGGUUGCUUUGGAGUUUCCUGUGCAUCUUCUGUAUGAUGUGAAGCCUGGUAGACUUCAACCCACAGGAGCUGCUGGACUAACAGCCUAGGAUGUUGCUGCUGCAAAUAUUCUGGUGGCCGUACAUCUUUAGUACUACUGCUACUGCCAAAUUGCAAGCGAUAUCGUCUUUUUAAAGGCUAGAAACAGGAUGUCUCAAUGAUUCAACUCUCGGUCUUCUGGAAUCCCCUUUAUCCUUAGCAGGUCGUACCUAGCUGUCGUGACAUAGUUGGACGUUAACGAUCAGGUCGAUACUUGGCAGCUUCAUCUGUCACUACCUUACAGCGCGACAUGCAUAUACGUGUGGAAUGUUUUCAGUUGUUAGGAGACUGCUAUUCUUCCGUGGUGCUCAUGCCGUGCCUUCUGUGUCUAGCUCAUUCUUGGAUAUCCUUUCAUUGUUGAAAUUAAAAAUACAAAUUUCAGUGAGUGUCUUAA
rnacentral:lncRNA from 1 species